GAUGAACGCUGGCGGCGUGCCUAAUACAUGCAAGUCGAGCGAACAGACGAGGAGCUUGCUCCUCUGACGUUAGCGGCGGACGGGUGAGUAACACGUGGAUAACCUACCUAUAAGACUGGGAUAACUUCGGGAAACCGGAGCUAAUACCGGAUAAUAUAUUGAACCGCAUGGUUCAAUAGUGAAAGACGGUUUUGCUGUCACUUAUAGAUGGAUCCGCGCCGCAUUAGCUAGUUGGUAAGGUAACGGCUUACCAAGGCAACGAUGCGUAGCCGACCUGAGAGGGUGAUCGGCCACACUGGAACUGAGACACGGUCCAGACUCCUACGGGAGGCAGCAGUGGGGAAUAUUCCGCAAUGGGCGAAAGCUUGACGGAGCAACGCCGCGUGAGUGAUGAAGGUCUUCGGAUCGUAAAACUCUGUUAUUAGGGAAGAACAAAUGUGUAAGUAACUAUGCACGUCUUGACGGUACCUAAUCAGAAAGCCACGGCUAACUACGUG
rnacentral:rRNA from 1 species